rnacentral:rRNA from 1 species
UACGUAGGGGGCAAGCGUUGUCCGGAAUCACUGGGCGUAAAGCGCACGUAGGCGGCUUCUUAAGUCAGGGGUGAAAUCCUGGAGCUCAACUCCAGAACUGCCUUUGAUACUGGGAAGCUUCGAGUCCGGAAGAGGUGAGUGGAACUGCGAGUGUAGAGGUGAAAUUCGUAGAUAUUCGCAAGAACACCAGUGGCGAAGGCGGCUCACUGGUCCGGUACUGACGCUGAGGUGCGAAAGCGUGGGGAGCAAACAGG